rnacentral:rRNA from 1 species
UACGUAGGGAGCGAGCGUUAUCCGGAAUUAUUGGGCGUAAAGGGAGCGUAGACGGCUGUGCAAGUCUGGAGUGAAAGGCAUGGGCUCAACCUGUGGACUGCUUUGGAAACUGUGCAGCUUGAGUGUCGGAGAGGCAAGUGGAAUUCCUAGUGUAGCGGUGAAAUGCGUAGAUAUUAGGAGGAACACCAGUGGCGAAGGCGGCUUACUGGACGAUGACUGACGCUGAGGCUCGAAAGCGUGGGGAGCAAACAGG